rnacentral:siRNA from 1 species
AGAUACCUAAAAGUGUUGACUUA